rnacentral:lncRNA from 1 species
CUUUGGUCGCCUGAGGAAGAGUUAUAAGUCACAAUCAUCAUCACCGAAUAGAGGUGGUUCUAACAGUCCAAAUGAGAGCUGAUUGUCCGAUCAGAGCCCAGUUCAACCCAAGGAAUUAGGACAGAGCAGAAUCAAACCAGGACCAGCCACCUGUAGGAGACUGAGUGUAACUAAGUACCCAGUGGAGUGCUGGGGGGCGACAGGCAGAAGAACCCUGGUGAAGGAGGAAGAGAUGCUACCCAGGUACGUGGUCAGAAAUGGCUCUGUGGCAACUCUCCUGGCUGGAGGUUGGGGCAGAGGAGGAGGCCAAGUGGAGAAGGAAAUGUAACCUAAGAGAGGCCAACUCACCCCCUUUGCUGUUCAGUGGCUGGGAGAAGGCUAGGGCAGGCCCAGCAGAGGUGGAGAGCUCCAGGGGUGGAGGUCGGGAUGCCAGACCUGGUAGGCUGUGUCACCGUGGUCAAGUCCUCUACCUUAUGUUCCUCAAUUUCCCCAGCAACCCCCGAUGGUGGCCUCCCUGCCCACUUCCCAGAAUUGGAGGCUCAAGGGACAUUGGGAAUGUGAGGGUGCUCAGAACAGUAAGUAUCACUGGUAUUUCCUUUGUGUCCGAGUUACCCAGUCAGCCAUGGUCUGGAGGCAGAAGAUGCUCCUUCUGA